rnacentral:rRNA from 1 species
GAUGAACGCUGGCGGCGUGCCUAACACAUGCAAGUCGAACGGAGUCGUUUUGGAAAUCUCUUCGGAGAUGGAAUUCUCGACUUAGUGGCGGACGGGUGAGUAACGCGUGAGCAAUCUGCCUUUAAGAGGGGGAUAACAGUCGGAAACGGCUGCUAAUACCGCAUAAAGCAUUAAAUUCGCAUGUUUUUGAUGCCAAAGGAGCAAUCCGCUUUUAGAUGAGCUCGCGUCUGAUUAGCUAGUUGGCGGGGUAACGGCCCACCAAGGCGACGAUCAGUAGCCGGACUGAGAGGUUGAACGGCCACAUUGGGACUGAGACACGGACCAGACUCCUACGGGAGGCAGCAGUGGGGAAUAUUGCGCAAUGGGGGAAACCCUGACGCAGCAACGCCGCGUGAUUGAAGAAGGCCUUCGGGUUGUAAAGAUCUUUAAUCAGGGACGAAACAAAUGACGGUACCUGAAGAAUAAGCUCCGGCUAACUACGUG